UACGUAGGGGGCUAGCGUUGUCCGGAAUCAUUGGGCGUAAAGAGCGCGUAGGCGGCCAGAUAAGUCCGGUGUGAAAGUCAAAGGCUCAACCUUUGAAUGCCGCUGGAAACUGUCUGGCUAGAGUCCGGGAGGGGCGAGUGGAAUUCCUGGUGUAGCGGUGAAAUGCGCAGAUAUCUGGAGGAACACCGGUGGCGAAGGCGGCAUCCUGGACCGACACUGACACUGAGGAGCGAAAGCCAGGGGAGCAAACGGG
rnacentral:rRNA from 1 species